rnacentral:lncRNA from 1 species
AAUAAUCUACACUCUUUCUGCUGACUGCAGUCCUACUAGCAAAAACUCUAAACUAAAUGUUCUGUUCCAACAAAUGGAAGAGCAAAAUAACUGUGAAGAGUGAACAUAUUUAGCAAAUGUUUACAACUCAUGCUCUUAGUUAUAUUAUGUGGGUUUUUACUAUCGAAUGCUCGUCCUAUUGCAGCUUUCUCUCUAUCUCUAUCUCUAUCUCAC